rnacentral:rRNA from 1 species
UACAGAGGGGGCAAGCGUUGUUCGGAAUUACUGGGCGUAAAGGGCGCGUAGGCGGCCUCUUAAGUCGAACGUGAAAUCCCCGGGCUCAACCCGGGAACUGCGUCCGAUACUGGGAGGCUUGAAUCCGGGAGAGGGAUGUGGAAUUCCAGGUGUAGCGGUGAAAUGCGUAGAUAUCUGGAGGAACACCGGUGGCGAAGGCGG